CGCGCAGGCGGUUUUAUUAGUCAGAUGUGAAAGCCCACGGCUCAACCGUGGAAGUGCAUUUGAAACUGUAAGACUUGAGUACCAGAGGGGAAAGUGGAAUUCCCGGUGUAGAGGUGAAAUUCGUAGAUAUCGGGAGGAAUACCGGUGGCGAAGGCGACUUUCUGGCUGGAUACUGACGCUGAGGCGCGAAAGCGUGGGGAGCAAACA
rnacentral:rRNA from 1 species